GAGGGCGUAGCUCCAACGGUAGAGCGUUGGACUCCAAAUCCAACGGUUGCGGGUUCAAAUCCCGUCGGCCUCA